rnacentral:rRNA from 1 species
CCCCUAGUAACUGCGAGUGAAGCGGGAAGAGCUCAAAUUUAAAAUCUGGCAGCUCUGCUGUCCGAGUUGUAAUCUGUAGAAGCAUUUUCUGCAUUGGACUGUGUACAAGUCUCUUGGAAUAGAGCGUCAUAGAGGGUGAGAAUCCCGUCCAUGACACAGACUACCAAUGCUUUGUGAUAUGCUCUCAAAGAGUCGAGUUGUUUGGGAAUGCAGCUCAAAAUGGGUGGUAAAUUCCAUCUAAAGCUAAAUACAGGCGAGAGACCGAUAGCGAACAAGUACCGUGAGGGAAAGAUGAAAAGCACUUUGGAAAGAGAGUUAAACAGUACGUGAAAUUGUUGAAAGGGAAACGCUUGAAGUCAGUCACAUUCUGCAGAACUCAGCCUUGCCUUAUUAGGCCUGGUGUAUUUUCUGCAGGGAUGGGUCAACAUCAAUUUUGGUCAGUGGAUAAAGGAGGAGGGAAUGUGGCACCUGUGAAGGUGUGUUAUAGCCCUUUUUCAUAUACAUUGACUGGGAUUGAGGACUGCAGCAUGCCCUUUUGUGGGCCAGGCUUUUCAUGUCACAUGCUUAGGAUGUUGACAAAAUGGCUUUAAGCGACCCGUCUUGAAACACGGACCAAGGAGUCUAACAUGCCUGCAAGUGUUUGGGUGGAAAACCCUUGCGCAUAAUGAAAGUGAAAGUUGGGAACCUCCGCAAGGGGGUGCACUGACACCCGGCCCUGAUGUUUACUGACGGUGCUGCGGUAGAGCAUGUAUGUUGGGACCCGAAAGAUGGUGAACUAUGCCUGAAUAGGGUGAAGCCAGAGGAAACUCUGGUGGAGGCUCGUAGCGAUUCUGACGUGCAAAUCGAUCGUCAAAUUUGGGUAUAGGGGCGAAAGAC